rnacentral:rRNA from 1 species
UACAGAGGAGCCAAGCGUUGUCCGGAUUGACUGGGCGUAAAGCGCACGCAGGCGGUUGCGCGCGUGGGGUGUGAAAUCUGGCCGCUUAACGGCCAGGCGCCAUCCCAUACGGCGCGACUGGAGGGCUGCAGAGGUCGAUGGAAUUGCCGGUGUAGUGGUGAAAUGCGUAGAGAUCGGCAGGAACACCCAGGGGGGAAACCAGUCGACUGGGCAGCACCUGACGCUGAGGUGCGAGAGCGGUGGGGAGCGAACCGG